ACUCUAGUAUUGACCUCAAUCCACAUGUGUUGAGGUGGAUUAGAGUGUAAAUUAGUUUAAGUUACACCCCAAUCCACUUCAAUACAUGUGGAUUGGGGUCAAUACUAGA
rnacentral:pre_miRNA from 1 species